CAUCCAAAUUUAUUAUGAAGAAAGAGAGUACAAAAAAAAUAAAAAAGAAAAAAAGAAACCCUAGUACAGAAGAGAAAAAGAACCUCAUUAAACCAUCAAAACUGAAAUUUAAAUUUCAAAAUUAAAUUUUAAAAAAGAGAACCCCGUCCUACCACCGAUGGGGAUGAAACAAUGCGAAUCGUUAGAGGAGAUCGUCAAAUCUACUUAUCCCAAGAGAUGAAGGGAGAUCAGCAGCUUCUCAACAAAUUGAUGACACCUCUAUCCAACAUAGCUAUAGACGGCCGUUUCACCUUCGCCAUCGACAACACCAGCAGCUCAGAGAGGAAAGAAAUCAAGCAGUCAGAAAGAAAGUGGGCAAUUGAGGAAGAGCUAAUGCGGCUACUAGAAAAAGAAGAAAGUCUAUAGUUGACUCAGGUCGACAGGUGCUAGGAUCUGGACACCGAAAGAGAAGAGAAUGUCCGAUGCCAAGAAGGGCCUCAAACUAGAGGGAGAAGCCAUCACUCGAGAACCAUCGGAGUACAAGGGCACCGAUCUCGCCAUCGAAAGAGAGGAGCAGUCUGAAGCCAAGAUUUUUUCGGCC
rnacentral:lncRNA from 1 species